rnacentral:rRNA from 1 species
UACGGGGGGGGCAAGCGUUGUUCGGAAUUACUGGGCGUAAAGCGCGUGUAGGCGGUCCCUUAAGUCCGAGGUGAAAGGCGGAGGCUCAACCUCCGAGCUGCGUCGGAAACUGGGGGUCUUGAAUGUCGGAGAGGGGCGUGGAAUUCCUGGUGUAGCGGUGAAAUGCGUAGAGAUCAGGAGGAACACCGGUGGCGAAGGCGGCGCCCUGGCCGAACAUUGACGCUGGAGACGGCGAAAGCGCGGGGAGCGAACGG